ACAAUGGAACUUUAAGCUGUUUGGCAUUCGUAUGCAACAAAUUUACAUAUGUAAAAAGCUGCUUUUCUGUGGGAGCCUGAGGAGAACAUGCUCAAGAUGAAAGGAAGUGGAAUACAGCGGAAGGGCAGCCAAAUUCUGAUGGCUUCCUUGCAGAUGGUCUUGAGCACUACUGGGAAUGGAGCCUGGAGUCUUGACUCACAUGCCUCUCUUUAACCGGUAGGUAAUAUUUCCUCUUUGGUGGUGAAUUGCUGAACCCAAAACUGAAAUAACUGAUCAUUUGCAAGCCUGGAACACAGUCCACUUUCAAGUUGCUUCAGAAAUCUUGCUUUGCUGCACUGGUUUGUUAAGUUGCAGUGCACUCCGAAAAAAAAAAAAGGGGGAAAAGUUUCUAUGUCCAUACAUGGUAAAGAAUUUCUGAGAAAUGCUUUGGAAUU
rnacentral:lncRNA from 1 species